UACAGAGAGUGCGAGCGUUAAUCGGAAUUCUGGGCGUAAAGCGCGCGUAGGCGGCUUUGCAAGUCGGGUGUGAAAUCCCCAGGCUUAACCUGGGAACUGCAUUCGAGACUGCAUUGCUAGAGUAUGGGAGAGGGAAGUGGAAUUUCCGGUGUAGCGGUGAAAUGCGUAGAUAUCGGAAGGAACAUCAGUGGCGAAAGCGACUUCCUGGACCAAUACUGACGCUCAUGUGCGAAAGCGUGGGGAGCAAACAGG
rnacentral:rRNA from 1 species